AAUCAACGCUGGCGGCGUGCCUCAGACAUGCAAGUCGAACGAUUAAACUCGCCUUCGGGUGAGAUAUAAAGUGGCGCACGGGUGAGUAACACGUAGGUAAUGUGCCUUUGGGUGGGGAAUAACAGUCGGGAAACGACUGCUAAUACCGCAUAAUGCAGCGGCUCCUUCGGGAGACAGUUGUUAAAGAUUUAUCGCCUAAAGAGCAGCCUGCGGCAGAUUAGCUAGNGGUAAGGUAACGGCUUACCAAGGCAACGAUCUGUAUCCGACCUGAGAGGGUGGUCGGACACACUGACACUGGAAUAACGGGUCAGACUCCGUACGGGAGGCAGGCAGUCGGGAAUUUUGGGCAAUGGGCGCAAGCCUGACCCAGCAACGCCGCGCGAAGGAUGAAGUUUUUCGGAAU
rnacentral:rRNA from 1 species